ensembl:ncRNA lncRNA:CR44350 long non-coding RNA:CR44350
UUCAAACUUGAUUAGAUUUAUGUUCUGUUCGUAAUACUUAAAAAUUAAGUUCGUACUUAUCUCUCAAAUAUUACCAAUGCUUUUUUCCCAGUGUAGUCACUGAUUUGGACUGGGCGAAACGUUAAAGUGUGACCGAGAACUUUGUGACAAUUUAUGGGCGCGAAAACUUUUGGCAUUUCCCUAAGAAACGACAAUGCAGCUGCCAAUUGCCAAAAGCCGCGCCACAACUAGUAAGUGAGUAUAAAAAUGUCAAUAACGAAAUAUAUUAAUGUGAGCGGCUUUUCCACCCAAAGAAGUAAAGUAUCCCGAACCGCGCACUCGAAAAAAUGGGCAGUAUUGGUAAAAGUUGCUGGCGCAAAAGAAAAUAUGAAAGAAAAUUUCAUUAAGCUGGCAGCAGCCAACUUGCUAAAAAGUUAAUCUAGCAAACUUUUUGGACAGCCAAAUUUUUCAGCUGCCAACAUGUGUGCGUGUGUGUGUGGUGUGUGCUCCAAAGAUUUCCAUUCACAGGUAACACUGAUAUAUGGCUGAUUUGUCUCCUAUCUAAUUUGAUUGAAUAUAUUUGAAUAUCCGCAAGAUGAUCUGCUCGAAUGGACGCCAACUUUAUAUGUCUUAGAAAAGAAUUAUGAAGAUAUUUCGCAAAAUUUACUGGCUGGCAAGGAUGUGCUCCAUCAAUUUGAUACUCUCUCAAUAGACCAGCUAGCUCAUGUGCUGCUGACACAUUCAAUUGAUUAAGCCAAGCCACAACGCCGCCAAAGAAACUUUUCGCCCAGAUCCUGGCUGAAUCCUGGCAAAAAGGAGGUGAGGCGGUGCUCAUUGCAAGGCAAAGUUAAUUUUGAAUCGUUUAUCAAACAGCGUGGAGCUGCAAACUUGAAGUGCAUGUGCUGGCAGGCUGCCAUAUUCGAGUACCUGACUCUCGAAUUUGACUAGAAAAAACUAUAACCUUGUGUGGAAAAUACUGUGCAUAUAUGUAGAUGUGUGGGGGGGUAACUGGCGAGCUUCAGCUAUUUGUCAAAUUUGACUCGACUUUGGCUGCUCUGGGCCUGGUGCAAAUUGAUGAAAUGAGUUGUGAAAAUUCACAGAGAACCUACUUAUAUGCCAUAUGCACAUGCACAAGUUAAUGGAAUCAAUGCGGCAGGUAUGAAAGUAAACGGCAUGGAAAAUAAACCAAUGUUAUGCAAACAAAUAGUUGGGAGGAAAAGAAAAACUUCGUAAAAGCGGAAAAUAUCUGCAUUUCCGUUUACGGCCAAAAAUUUAGAAAUGAUGAAGUGCCAGUUGCCAAAGAAACUAUUUUGGCUGAUUCCCACGGCACCCAGUCAAUCAUGGAGUCACUUAGCACGCUCCAUAUCCUGGUACUCGAUGCUCGAUAAAGAGAGCUGAUUCCAUACAGUACAUAUGAAUUAUCCUUGACACGUAUAAUUCGCAGCCACUAGCUGCUGAGGUGUAAUCGUUUGCCGCUCGAACGGAGUGCCAAAUGAGGCGACACACCGAUGCACUGCAAGAAAAUUGGUUAGUUUUCGAAAGUAGGAAGCAAAGUGAACAUCCUUUCACAUGAUGAAAUAUGUGAUAUACUCUUGAUGAACAGCUGGUAAAGUAUGAUUAAGGAUAUUGACAGUCAUAUUAAUAAUAAGAAAUAAUUGAAAUAUAACCGAGGAGUUCCCGCAGUGCACGGUAACUCUGGAGCCAGGCGAACAUAGCCAAGGGUCCUUAGUUUGCCAGGACAACACAUACCAGGCCAAUCCGGCGCACUCAUGCUGGUGCUGCGGCUUUAUGGUCAGGUGUCUCAAGAUGCAUGCCCCUUUUGGGGCAACUCCAAUCGGUAGGGCAUUGUAAUGAGCUCAUUGCGCGGAGGUCCUUGCCGUGUACAAAGAACCAACAAAAGGAGAGCGGCAAACAAGGACUCCUGCUGCUGCUGCUGCUAACUACGCGCAUUUUCCGAUCCAUUUAUCACAGAAACAGCCUCCGACGGGCAGGACUCGAAACCAAAAGCGAGAUUUUAAGCGAUAUCCUGCCAGACGAUCGUUGGCAGAGCUCAUUGUGCUCCUGUUCCUGUUCCGUUCUAUGUGUGUGAGUGUGCGUGUGUGAGGGUGUAGUGUGCGCGAGUUAACGGGAAAUCGCAAUAAAUGCGGCAAAUGUGUUGCUUUGUGUGCUGUUAAACGCAUUUUUAUAGAAAUUGCUUUCAUGCCAGCCAUCCAGUAAGCGGGAAAAGCAGCGGGAGCAGCGCCCAUUUGUAUGCCAUGCUUUUUUCCCCUUCCCUGCUCCUUUCAUUUUUUGCACUGAUUGCACUUUAUGCGAAUAUCCUUUGUGUUAGUGUGUGUUUGUGUGUGUGUGCUUGUGUAUGGGGUGCAUAUGCAAGGCAGUUGGUCUUUAGUGCACAUUUCCAUGACAAAAGCACACCAAUUAGCGAGCGUUUAAUGCAAAUGUUUUCGAUUGCCACAUAAUCGCUGGCAUAGAAGGCCUUUUAAUAAGUUAAACGCCCAGGACAAUAUAGACGCCAGGAUAUUGUGUUCGCCAAUGAUUGCUAUGGCCACGUCCUUACAGACUCACCAAAUUAACUGGAGUGCGACAAUUUCUAGCUGUCGUAAAACUUUUAUUAUGCAUACAUAGAGGUAACAGCGCAGAACUGGGCAAAUAACUAAGCUGCCUUACAUAACAGGCAAGGGCAAACACAGACGCACCUCGGGGAGUGACGGACAGGUCCCAAAUGUCUGGUCAAAAUGGGUCAGUGCCACCAUUAGCUCAGGAAACUGGAACACUAGCGGCCCCGAAAGGCGAGAUUAGCCCACACACCAGCACACCCGUACACCUGGCAUGCCCAAGGAUAAUUUUCCAUACCAUAUAUAUGCAUAUAUGUAUGAGGCAGGGAAUGGAUGGAGUUAGAACGAAUCUCCAUUAGCUGGAAGAAGAAUCAUUGGGGUAACAAAAUGUAAUGUUAGUUUAUGUACAUUAUGCUAAGUUUCUACGAAAAAAUUCAAAGACUUCGGAGUUGAUUAGCAAUAUUUAAUAUAUUCACAAGUGCUGGCCAACACUGCGUAUGAGUUAUGAAUGUAAGGCCUUUCCUGUGAUGCUACUAAAAUAUUAAGUAUUUUUGUGAACUUCAAUUACAAAUCAAAUGAAUAUUUAUUAAUUCCAAUUCCCAAAAGUGCCUGCAGCACAAUCAACCAUUUAAUAUACAUCCAAGGCUCACUUAAAUUCGCAACUUCAGCCCGCACAACUGGGUAGCUCAUUAAAUUUUUAAAUUUCAACCAGAUAGCCGGGUAAGAAGCUGAAAUCAUCAACUCUCAAUGAAUUGCAAACGGGGAGACCACAAAGCAAUUUACACAAGCGAACGCAGUGGAGGCCAUAAAUUAAAGGCAAAUGGUGGAAAUGGAGUUUGCGGAUGCGGGGCACACCAUUUUUCACAUUCAAAUUUCCCGCAUCCAAACAAAUCCGGGCUGAAUGCUGGCUUGCUGGUCCAUGAAAGCAGGUCCAAAAAUAUAUAAAAGCAGUUAAGAGAAAGAAGGCCAGCGAAAUAAGAAAAAAAAAAAAAAACAAACCCAACUAACUACAAGGGUUAACAUGAAUGACCGUUUGCCGGC